UGGAUGGCUGGUUACCAUCAAGGCAGUAUAACAGAGAUGUACUAAGUGUUUCUCUUUCCAGAAUCUUUUCCUCAUCAUCGCUUUCUGAAGUAUCAAAGUCUCCUGUUCUACUUGAAAAGCUUAGAUCUACUGGGCUUGUGGUUUGACCCUGAUAACAGAACUACAGGCUUUCUACAUCGGGGUGUCAUCAUCGUUUCCUGCAAAAGAAAGUGAAACACAUAAGCAUCCAGACAGACUUAACCUUUACUGUCUAAGUGACACAGCUGUAAAAUAAGGCAUUUUUCCCUACCAGAGUGAACAAGACACACAUACAUGCUUAGGAAACAAAGAACACUAGACAUAACAGAGACAUGCUUACCUGCAUGGCUUUGGACAUUUUCUGUGUUGAUCUGGUAAUGGGCGACAUAGAAU